AAGAUGCGUCUGUGGGGAUCACUGGAUUUCUGAUUUCAGUUGCAAGAAUUUCUAGUUGGCAAUAAACAUUGCCAUUGGCAUGGCAAUACCAGGAGCUUUAGGUGAGGUACUUGAUUUCUGAAGCAACAAUAAGAAAAAAAAAAGACAAAUAUGUAUUUUAUAAGAAAAUUAACCAUGUUUACAUAUAAAAUAAAAAAAUAUUAGCAGAAUUUCAUAGAUAUAAAAAUACCUAUAGCUAACAUCUGCCUCACACAUACUAUAUAUCAUGUGGGCACCAGUCAAUCCCACAACAAAACAAAAAGCUCAAGCGCAAUCCAUUAUCGUGUUAUACCGACCUAUUACUAUCACCAUGCAGAUAGUUUUGAAAUGAAUAGGCAAAAAAAAAAAAAAAAAAAGCAUUUCAUAUAUAAACCUCUGCCUAAAUAUUUUCUUUAAAAUGAAGUCAAUGAAAAAUAAAUAAAUAAAAAUAAAAUGAAGUAAAUGUGGGAGGGGUGCGUUUGUGCAGGGGUGUAUAACGGAAGGAAGGGACUGUAUCCUUUUUCAAAGUCUAUGUGGGGAUCACCAUGCUUAGGGCUUUACAAAUACUUAUAUUUCACAAUCUUUACAGCCACCCUGAGUAGUUAAUACUACAGGAAGAGGAAUCACGUGGAAAGGAGACAUCGGGGAGGCUCCAAGUGUCCCAAACCGGGAUUGAAGAGCUGCAGUUCAAAGAUCAGGCUAAGCAAACUCCCGCGGCAGCAAGCCACCCACCAGGAGUUCCAGCUACAGAAGUUUGCCAUGUUUUUCCCCAGGAAGGGCCUGGAAGCUGCUGCGACACCCUAUUCCUCUUACCCAUCUGUAACCCUCACUCGAGAAAAGGGCAAAGUUUAAGUAAAAAUCUCUGGCACGACAGAGAUGUUGUGUGUGUGUGAAAUGAAAAUGUAUAUACUCAAACCGUGGGUCAACUAUGGUUUAAAGUACGUCCUGACUUCCUGCCGUUCUUUUCUGAGGUACGGAAAUAUUUCAAGGCAAUUUCAAGAAACCGGAUUUCAAGAAACUACUAAAACCUUUUUUGUAGAGGUAUUCCUCCUCAUGCACAUCCUCGGGACAGCAGUCGUUUUAAAACGGAGUUAAAAGUCCACACUUCAGCCUUGAAAUGUGCUCGAGUCGUGCGGCGACCUUGGAGACGUAGCUCCAACCGUGCAAAGUCUCAGAAAGUGGACCUAGCCUAGCUUAGAAAAUACAAAACCCCCGAAUUCUUUUUUAUUCUACUAAAUACUCUCACCUGUUACAGUCUCCUUGAGCAAGUGCUGGCACUGGUAAAAGGGCAACGAGCAUUUGCCUAAUGGUCCGAAGUGUGAUAGCCAAAAAUAAACAUAAGGGGGAAAAAAAUCA
rnacentral:lncRNA from 12 species